rnacentral:rRNA from 1 species
UACGUAGGGGGCUAGCGUUGUCCGGAAUCAUUGGGCGUAAAGCGCGUGUAGGCGGCUCGGUAAGUCUGCUCUGAAAGUCCAAGGCUCAACCUUGGGAUGCGGGUGGAUACUGCCGGGCUCGAGUCCGGAAGAGGCGAGUGGAAUUCCUGGUGUAGCGGUGGAAAUGCGCAGAUAUCAGGAGGAACACCAAUGGCGAAGGCAGCUCGCUGGGGCGUGACUGACGCUGAGACGCGAAAGCGUGGGGAGCAAACAGG